ensembl:snRNA U1 U1 spliceosomal RNA
AUUCUUACCUGGCAGGGGAGAUAACAUGAUCAUGAAAGUGGUUUUCCCAGGGUGAGUUUUAUCUGUUGCACUCUGGAUGUGCUGACCCCUGUGAUUGCCCCAAAAUGGGAAACUCCACUGCAUAAUUUGUGGUAGUGGGGGACUGUGUUUAUGCUUUCCCUAA